rnacentral:rRNA from 1 species
GUCCACGCCGUAAACGAUGAGAACUAGAUGUCGGGAGGGUUUAGCCUCUCGGUGUCGCAGCUAACGCGUUAAGUUCUCCGCCUGGGGAGUACGCCGGCAACGGUAAAACUCAAAGGAAUUGACGGGGACCCGCACAAGCGGUGGAGCAUGUGGUUUAAUUCGAUGCAACGCGAAGAACCUUACCUGCCCUUGACAUUGACAGAAUCCUGUAGAGAUACGGGAGUGCUUCGGCCUGGAAAACAGGUGCUGCAUGGCUGUCGU